GCUUCUGCUUCUUCUUUUUCUUUAUGGGAAAUUAUGGCUGAUAUUUUGAGCAAUACCAACCUAGUUUCUUCUUCUUCUUAUUCUUCUUCUCCAUCCUUUAAUGCUUACCAAAACCACCAUAAAUAUAGUUCUUGCAGGCUCAGUGGGUUCCCUCGGAAAUUGAAUCCUCAAGCUUUGAGAUUGCAAACGAGAUCGCUUGGCAGUGAUUUUCAUGGAAAGAGGGUUGUUCUUCAAGAAAAACCAAGGCAAACCCAAUAGAGGGAUUUAUCUUCAAAGGUCAAUUAAGGCUCAGCAUACUGGCCUUAGACUCAAGAAUGCUGCAAAAUGGUGGGAUAAGGGAUUGCAAUCCAACAUGAAGGAGGUGACCUCUGCGCAAGAGCUUGUGGACUCCCUCCGGGACGCUGGGGAUAAACUUGUCAUUGUUGAUUUCUUCUC
rnacentral:misc_RNA from 1 species